rfam:Candidatus Zambryskibacteria bacterium RIFOXYC1_FTLL_39_10 rifoxyc1_full_scaffold_464, whole genome shotgun sequence.
UGGGAGAUCGUCUAAUGGUCGGACAAUCGCCUUUGAAGCGAUGAAUCUAGGUUCGAUCCCUAGUCUCCCAG